rnacentral:piRNA from 1 species
UGCAGCUUUGUUGCUGUGUGACCUUAGC